rnacentral:rRNA from 1 species
CCUACGGGUGGCAGCAGUCGAGAAUCAUUCACAAUGGGGGAAACCCUGAUGGUGCGACGCCGCGUGGGGGAAUGAAGGUCUUCGGAUUGUAAACCCCUGUCAUGUGGGAGCAAAUUAAAAAGAUAGUACCACAAGAGGAAGAGACGGCUAACUCUGUGCCAGCAGCCGCGGUAAUACAGAGGUCUCAAGCGUUGUUCGGAAUCACUGGGUGUAAAGGGUGGGUAGGCUGUUUCGUAAGUCGGGUGUGAAAGGCGCGGGCUCAACCCGCGGACGGCACAUGAUACUGCGAGACUAGAGUAAUGGAGGGGGAACCGGAAUUCUCGGUGUAGCAGUGAAAUGCGUAGAUAUCGAGAGGAACACUCGUGGCGAAGGCGGGUUCCUGGACAUUAACUGACGCUGAGGCACGAAGGCCAGGGGAGCGAAAGGGAUUAGAUACCCCUGUAGUC